rnacentral:rRNA from 1 species
GACAGAGUGUGCAAGCGUUAAUCGGAAUUACUGGGCGUAAAGCGUGCGCAGGCGGUUAUGUAAGACAGCUGUGAAAUGCCCGGGCUUAACCUGGGAACUGCAUUUGUGACUGCAUGGCUAGAGUUUGGCAGAGGGGGGUAGAAUUCCACGUGUAGCAGUGAAAUGCGUAGAUAUGUGGAGGAACACCGAUGGCGAAGGCAGCCCCCUGGGUCAAGACUGACGCUCAUGCACGAAAGCGUGGGGAGCAAACAGG